GACGCCUGCCCGGUGCUCGAAGGUUAAUUGAUGGGGUUAGCAUUAGCGAAGCUCUUGAUCGAAGCCCGAGUAAACGGCGGCCGUAACUAUAACGGUCCUAAGGUAGCGAAAUUCCUUGUCGGUUAAAUACCGACCUGCAUGAAUGGCGUAACGAGAUGGGAGCUGUCUCAAAGAGGGAUCCAGUGAAAUUGUAGUGGAGGUGAAAAUUCCUCCUACCCGCGGCAAGACGGAAAGACCCCGUGGACCUUUACUACAGCUUGACACUGCUACUUGGAUAAGAAUGUGCAGGAUAGGUGGGAGGCUUUGAGUAUAUGACGCCAGUUGUAUAUGAGCCAUUGUUGAGAUACCACUCUUUCUUAUUUGGGUAGCUAACCAGCUUGAGUUAUCCUCAAGUGGGACAAUGUCUGGUGGGUAGUUUGACUGGGGCGGUCGCCUCCCAAAUAAUAACGGAGGCUUACAAAGGUUGGCUCAGAACGGUUGGAAAUCGUUCGUAGAGUAUAAAGGUAUAAGCCAGCUUAACUGCAAGACAUACAAGUCAAGCAGAGACGAAAGUCGGUCUUAGUGAUCCGGUGGUUCUGUGUGGAAGGGCCAUCGCUCAAAGGAUAAAAGGUACCCCGGGGAUAACAGGCUGAUCUCCCCCAAGAGCUCACAUCGACGGGGAGGUUUGGCACCUCGAUGUCGGCUCAUCGCAUCCUGGGGCUGGAGCAGGUCCCAAGGGUAUGGCUGUUCGCCAUUUAAAGCGGUACGCGAGCUGGGUUCAGAACGUCGUGAGACAGUUCGGUCCCUAUCUGCCGUGGGCGUAAGAAGAUUGAAGAGAUUUGACCCUAGUACGAGAGGACCGGGUUGAACAAACCACUGGUGUAGCUGUUGUUCUGCCAAGAGCAUCGCAGCGUAGCUAAGUUUGGAAAGGAUAAACGCUGAAAGCAUCUAAGCGUGAAGCCAACUCUAAGAUGAAUCUUCUCUAAGCUCUCUAGAAGACUACUAGUUUGAUAGGCUGGGUGUGUAAUGGAUGAAAGUCCUUUAGCUGACCAGUACUAAUAGAGCGUUUGGCUUAUCUUUAAUAAAGCAU
rnacentral:rRNA from 1 species